rnacentral:rRNA from 1 species
AGUGAACGCUGGCGGUAGGCCUAACACAUGCAAGUCGAACGGCAGCACAGUAAGAGCUUGCUCUUACGGGUGGCGAGUGGCGGGCGGGUGAGGAAUACAUCGGAAUCUACUUUUUCGUGGGGGAUAACGUAGGGAAACUUACGCUAAUACCGCAUACGACCUACGGGUGAAAGCAGGGGAUCUUCGGACCUUGCGCGAUUGAAUGAGCCGAUGUCGGAUUAGCUAGUUGGCGGGGUAAAGGCCCACCAAGGCGACGAUCCGUAGCUGGUCUGAGAGGAUGAUCAGCCACACUGGAACUGAGACACGGUCCAGACUCCUACGGGAGGCAGCAGUGGGGAAUAUUGGACAAUGGGCGCAAGCCUGAUCCAGCCAUACCGCGUGGGUGAAGAAGGCCUUCGGGUUGUAAAGCCCUUUUGUUGGGAAAGAAAAGCAGCAGGUUAAUACCCCGCUGUUCUGACGGUACCCAAAGAAUACGCACCGGCUAACUUCGUG